ACGCUGGCGGCAGGCCUAACACAUGCAAGUCGAGCGGCAGCACGGGUACUUGUACCUGGUGGCGAGCGGCGGACGGGUGAGUAAUGCCUAGGAAUCUGCCUGGUAGUGGGGGAUAACGCUCGGAAACGGACGCUAAUACCGCAUACGUCCUACGGGAGAAAGCAGGGGACCUUCGGGCCUUGCGCUAUCAGAUGAGCCUAGGUCGGAUUAGCUAGUUGGUGGGGUAAUGGCUCACCAAGGCGACGAUCCGUAACUGGUCUGAGAGGAUGAUCAGUCACACUGGAACUGAGACACGGUCCAGACUCCUACGGGAGGCAGCAGUGGGGAAUAUUGGACAAUGGGCGAAAGCCUGAUCCAGCCAUGCCGCGUGUGUGAAGAAGGUCUUCGGAUUGUAAAGCACUUUAAGUUGGGAGGAAGGGCAGUUACCUAAUACGUAUCUGUUUUGACGUUACCGACAGAAUAAGCACCGGCUAACUCUGUGCCAGCAGCCGCGGUAAUACAGAGGGUGCAAGCGUUAAUCGGAAUUACUGGGCGUAAAGCGCGCGUAGGUGGUUUGUUAAGUUGAAUGUGAAACCCCCGGGCUCAACCUGGGAACUGCAUGCAAAACUGGCAAGCUAGAGUAUGGUAGAGGGUGGUGGAAUUUCCUGUGUAGCGGUGAAAUGCGUAGAUAUAGGAAGGAACACCAGUGGCGAAGGCGACCACCUGGACUGAUACUGACACUGAGGUGCGAAAGCGUGGGGAGCAAAC
rnacentral:rRNA from 1 species